UACGUAGGUGGCAAGCGUUGUCCGGAAUUAUUGGGCGUAAAGCGCGCGCAGGCGGUCUUUUAAGUCUUGUGUGAAAGCCCACGGCUCAACCGUGGAGGGUCAUUGGAAACUGGGAGACUUGAGUGCAGAAGAGAAGAGUGGAAUUCCAUGUGUAGCGGUGAAAUGCGUAGAGAUAUGGAGGAACACCAGUGGCGAAGGCGACUCUUUGGUCUGUAACUGACGCUGAGGCGCGAAAGCGUGGGUAGCAAACAGGAUUAGAUA
rnacentral:rRNA from 1 species